UCACAGACUGAGCUCUCGAUGCAGCAGCGUUUGAACCGAAGUCGCCUCUGCUGCUGCUGCAGCCGGGCUUUGGAGCGCGGCGUUGCGUAAGUAGCGGGGCCAGGGCCCAGGCGCUGCCAGGCUGGGGCGGGCCGCCGGCAAGGCCCCCGCGGCGCGCUUCCUAAUCGAUCGCGCCGCAACGUCCGGCGCCGGGGCGCACGAGAGCUCGUUCCUGCCCCGGCUCUCCAGGCUCGCAGUUGCGGGAAAGCCAAGCUCGGGCAGCAGACAAAUACUGAGCUUCAUCACCAUGCCUGUCCUGGCAGCAGAACCUACAGUUUUCUUGCUUCCCCACAGAAAAAGCUUGUGACUUCCAGUUCCCUCCAAAGAAUGAGCAGUGUCUAUGCCCUGGCCUUACUUACGUGGCUGUGCUGGGUCACUAACAGUACCUGCAACUCUAGUUGCUACUGUUUUGCAAUUGUAACGGAAAAGAAAAGUUAAAUGUCUUCAGAAGAUAAGGAAGCUCAGGAGGAUGAGCUGCUGGCUCUAGCUAGUAUUUAUGAUAAAGAUGAAUUUAAGAGGGCAGACUCUGCCCAAGGAGGAGAAACAAGAAUUUGUCUGGAGUUGCCCCAAAACUUCAAAAUAUUUGUGAGUGGAAGUCCCACAGAGUGUCUGCAGAACAGUGGAUUUGAAUACACAAUUUGCUUUCUGCCUCCACUUGUGUUGAAUUUUGAACUCCCACUAGAUUAUCCAUCAGUCUCUCCACCUGUGUUCACACUCAGCAGCAAGUGGCUCUCUCGGACUCAGCUUACUGCACUUUGCAAGCACUUAGACAACUUAUGGGAAGAGAACCGAGGCUGUGUGGUCUUGUUUGCCUGGAUGCAAUUUCUUAAGGAAGAAACACUAGCUUACCUGAACAUCACCUCCCCAUAUGAACUAAAAAUGUGCCAUCAAGCAAAUGGGCAGAGCAGGACAUCUCUGUUUCCUCUGAACUCAGAAGAGCUGGAUUGUUGUGGCGCAGCAGGUGCUGCAACAGCACAAGAAGAAAUCCUUGAUGAAAGAGCUGUACAGGAUGUGGAGUCUCUGUCAAGUCUGAUAAGGGAAAUCUUGGACUUUGAUCAGGCUCAGCAGAAAAAAUGCUUUAACAGCAAGAUGUUCUUGUGCAGCAUCUGCUUUUCUGAGAAGCUGGGUAGUGAAUGUAUGUACUUCAUGGAGUGCAGGCAUAUAUACUGCAAAUCCUGUUUAAAGGACUACUUUGAAAUUCAGAUCAGGGAUGGCCAGGUCCACUGCCUCAGCUGUCCAGAACCAAAGUGUUCUUCUGUUGCUACUCCUGGCCAGGUUAAGGAAUUGGUUGGAGAGGAGUUGUUUGCACGUUAUGACCGCCUACUUCUGCAGUCCAGCUUGGACUUGAUGGCAGACGUGGUAUAUUGUCCUCGUCCAUGCUGUCAGACUCCAGUGAUGCAAGAGCCAGGUUGCACCAUGGGCAUAUGUUCCCGUUGCAACUAUGCCUUCUGUACCCUCUGUAAAAUGACUUAUCACGGAGUCUCUCAAUGUAAAGUCACUGCAGAAAAGCUAAUGGAUUUGCGUAAUGAGUACCAAGAAGCAGAUGAGGCCACUAAAUUAUUUUUGGAGCAGCGCUAUGGCAAAAGAGUGAUUCAGAAAGCCCUUGAGGAGAUGGAAAGUAGAGAAUGGCUAGAAAAGAACUCAAAGGCCUGCCCUUGUUGUGGCACUCCUAUAGAGAAACUAGAUGGUUGUACAAGAUGACAUGCACUGGAUGCAGGCAGUACUUCUGCUGGCUUUGUAUGGGUUCUCUGUCUAGGUGAACCCAUAUAGGCACUUCAAUGAUACAUCCUCCCCAUGCUUUAAUCGGUUGUUUCAAGCUAUGAAUGUUGAUGGUGACUUCUGGGAGGCUGAAGAUGAAGACUAGUUUGUUCUGCUUCGCCUAAAGCUGAAGAACCAGAAGGGAAUCUUUUCCACUUAGUCAAGUUUGUUGCUCUCAUAUAGAGUGGUUACACUUCACACUGCAGGCUGCUUACACAACCAUUUGGAUGCUGUUGCCACACAACAGAAGAGACUAUUUUCCUCUCCUCUUCUCUGGUUGUUUAAGUCCCUUACGUACAUGUCCAGUGCUAAAUAGGGUGAACAAACUGUCAUCCAAAGGCUUAAAAAUAGUCGAGAAAACUCUAAAUACCAUAAUGUGCCCCUUUUUUUGAAACAUAUCCUAGAAAUCUCCGUUUGGGAAUUUCUCCAGGAAGUUUGGCCUUGCAAGGAUCUCUGGAUUCCAUCCUGCAUACUUUGCAGUAAUCUUUCCUACUGCUGAGGUGAGCUAGAUAUGCUCUCCCCGGAGCCCUUUGGUGAAGCUGCUUGUGUCCAUUGCAGGAAGGCUUAUUGAACAUAGCAUAACAAUUUCUCCCCUCCCUCAGAGACUGAGCCCGUUGCUUUCAUAGCAUUUCCUGACCUGGAUCCAAACUGAUUUUUCUGUGGGGGCUCACUGCUCUAGCACUGACACACUUCAUUGGGGUGGUAGAGGGUUAUAAACUGCAGAAUUUUUGCACCCCACUCCUUUUCUCCUCUCCCCUACCAUUCCCCUCUCCCCCCAGUGGAUCUAAUGCCUGGGUCCUGUGUAGAAAGUUGCUGACAAACAUUCCCUGUUUUCAUAACUAUCAUCUUGUUUUAUUCAGUUUCAGUAAUUUAAUUUCCAUGUUGCUAUCAUAUCUUAACGGGGAAGGAAUUUAUAUGGUCUGGUGAUUAUUUUCAUAAUGAUGGAUAUUAAAACAGUCUGUGUGCCCAAUCUGUGAAAUUCUGUGCAGUGUUUCUUGACUCAAAUAUUAAUGAGGUGCUUAAAUAAAAGAAAAGCGACCUCAGACACUGAACUGACGUAAAUCCCUUAACUGCAUGUUUUUCCUUCCCAGUUUCUAGUUGUUAAAAUUUUUUGUGAAAUUACGUCCUUUAGCCAAAGACAUCUAGUCGAGAUAAAUGGCUGGGACUAAUGUGUGGCCCUCCAACUGAACUAGCUCACUUAUUCAUGCUGUCAUUAUACUUCUAAAUAAUAAGUUAUUGGAAAAAUAAAUCUCCCUACCCUGUAGUUUUACAAGCAGUCUCAAAUAUGAGAACAGUGCUUGGAUUACAUUUUUAGAAAUACUUUUCAUCUGUAAAAUGGGCUAGAAAACAGCUGCUUUGAUUUUUUUAAUGAGAAAUAUACUUUGCUCAAAAUAAGACAGCAGGGCCUGAAUGGCUCAGAAGCUAGGUAAUGAUACAGAGAGCAAGGUCAACUCUUCAUAUGCAGCUUUGGUUGUUAGUAAAUAAAUCUUUACUCAAAUGUCUGUUUAGCUGAAUUGAGUAAAUGAUUUUAGUCCAUUUCUGGAAGGGACAAAGAUUCAUUACACAACUCACUAUCAUGCUUGGUAGUUUGAGAGAUCAAAGAUGGGAUACACAUGGAGACAGAUUCCCCUUGCCUAGAACUGGUCCACCUUAAUCUUGGUUGAGGUGGGUAGGGGAAGCUUGCCCACUCCUGUGUGUGAAUUGUUUAAUUUGCAUUCCAGCACCUUUCACAUGCACUAACUUCACUUUUUAAAAGUAAACUCAGUUGUCUUCACAGUUGUGUCCAUUAUGGGAUGCAUAUCAGAACAUAGAAAGUCUCUCUAUGGGAUAUAAUAAUAAUCUGCUUCUAGGCAACAACUGUGAUGAUCACUUCAGCUGGUAAACUAGUUUACUUGUUUGUAGUAAUCAUGUACAUUAAAUGGUAGUGCCUAGCCCUGGUGCAUAUCAUGCAAAGUGUUAGGAUAGGAUUUCCUAGAUUUUCACCUUUUCACAAAAAACUAAACCCACAGUGCAGGGUUUUCCUUCUAAAAUAUUUUAUUUGGGUAGACUGUUUGCUAGCUCUGUAUUCUUUAGUUCUGAUAACUGUUUAAAUACAAUGAUCAAGAAUUCAAACUGUAAAGUUAAUUCAGGUAGAAGUUUCCUAUUUAAGCACUAUUUCUGGAAUGUGCUUGUUUACAAUUCAAAACAGUUUUUAAAAACUCAUCCUAUUGCAUACCAAGUAUUUGCAGGGAAGGAUUAUGCAUACUGACUGGAUAAAGUGUCUGCCUCCUAAUCUCUCUCAAUCUAACUGUGUUAGCUUUGCAAAGAAUUAUUUGCAGAAAUAGCCAUGAGAUGUUAUGCAGUAAAAAGGCUGGCAAGUUUUUAUCCUUUAAAAUAGUGUUUUAAUGGUUCAAAAGAACCCUGUUCCUUCAGCUUUGUAAAAAGGAUGUAAAUCUGUAUUACCACGAAUGAAUGUAAGAUGAAGAUAAAUAAAUGUUUAAAAAUUUA